GUAUAUAUUUCUUAUGAUUUUCUUUUAAAUUUUAGAUUUUACGUCGGGUUAUCCGAACCGAUCCAAUAUAACUCAAAUCCAAACGAUAUAUGGUUACUUUAUGGGUUUUAGUAUGUGAUACAAAACUGACCGAACACUCUAGUAUGUGAUACAAAACCGACAUGAACCCAAUGUGUUAUAUCCGAUCCUGAUCCAUACUUACAAAAAUACCGGUAUGAGUCUUAGGACGUGUUAAAAAAUAGAACCGAAAUCCAAAAAACCUGACAUAAACCCAACGGGUACUCGGAUGUUGUAUGUAAAGAAUUUGUGAUGUAAAUUUAUUAUAUAAGAUUUAAGAUUAUAUCUCUCAUAUUAGAUUAAAAUUUGUUUAUUUAAUUAUUUUUUUUAAUUUUACAAAAUAUAAAAUUUAUAAAUUUUACAUUUUCUAAAAAACUAUUUUUAUAAAACAAUUAGUUUGAUUUUUUCAAAAAAAAAAUUUGUUCACGUGGCAUCUUCGUCAGCAUUAGCUGACAUAUUAUCCACGUCAUCAAAAUUAGAUGAUGAGACAGGUGAUGUGGCGACUGGUGUAUGAUUUUACCAAAAUGAUAAACAACAGGUAUGUUAUUUUGAAAUUUUUGAAAGUUCAGGUAUGUUUUUGCACGGUGACAUAAGUCGGAUAUGAAUUGAACAUAUCGCGAUAUAUCAAGUAUGAAAUGAACAUUUUCCUCCAAUAACUCUAAACAAGUCCAAACGGCCCCAAAGAAGAGCAAAUGGAUACUCAUGUAGCAAUAAGUAAUUAACACCAAUAUCACCAGCUCCCUCUUCCGUACCGGUUGCUGCGUCUCCAUCUCUUCCACUCGAUAAUACAAAAUCGGGUACUCAAACUUCAUCACUUUAAAAUGUAACAUCAGGUGAGCAACAGACCGUACUACAAUCAUCUCCACCAAGAAAUAGUACUUCUCCAUCUUCUACACCGUCUACAGAACUUGAUACUACAAUUGAUCCUACAGAAAUUGAUACUACUCCAGCCGAGAUGUCUUCUCCGGGGUUAUUAGAAGUUCUUCGCCGAGGUAAAAAAAUUAAGAGGCCUUCUAUUCUUCUCAAGAAUGCUCAGACUAUAAACCCCCCCCCCCCCCCCCCCCCCCCCCCCCCCCCCCCCCCCCUCAUUCUCAUGCUCUUUCACACUCUGAUCUUGAUCACUCGACAACGGUUUCAGAAUCUGUACCUACCACCUACAAUGAAGCUGUACGUGAUCAACGUUUUAAAAGUGCAAUGAAAUCAGAGAUCGGGGUUUUAGAAACACAACAUACUUGGGAUGUAACAACUCUACCACUAGUUGAAUGUCCUAAAGCUCGCCUCGUUGCUCUCGGAAAUAGACAAAAAUAAGGCAAUGAUUAUAAAGACACUUCUGCUCCGGUUGCUAAGAUGAAUACUAUCCAAUUUCUAAUUGCGGUUUCAGCAGCUCAAUAGUGGGAGAUACAUCAAAUGAAUGUUUAUAAUGCCUUAUAACAUGGAGAUUUAGAAGAAUAAAUAUAAGCAGCUUCCUCCAGGUUAAAAAAAAAACAAAAAAUAAAUCAAGUGUGUCGUCUACGUAAGUCUCUCUAUCUUAAACAAGAACCCCACUGUUGGUUUUCUAAACUCAGCAAGGCAGUUCUCGCUUUUGGUUUUGAACACAGCCAUGAAGAUUAUUAUCUUCUCUCAUACGUCAAGAACAUCAAGUUGAAAACAUAACUUCAUUAGUGAAUAAAUAUUUAAUCAGUUAAUUACUCGUUCACAAAUCAAACGUAUUUACCCCUAUAAGAUCUCUCUUUAUUCUCACCAAUCUAACAUCCAACACAAAAAAAAAAUAUAUGGCAAAGUCACUUCUCAUGAUAAUGCUUGUAUCUAUAGUUGUAUUUUUCAUGUCUCACCCAACUUCCUCCCAAGAAAUUUAUCAAUAUUCCCAACAAGAACCAGUAAAUGUCAACAUAUUAUCUCCUAUCGAAGCUCCCGCCAAUUCACCAGUGGUUAAAUAUGAGAGGGAGCUUAUGCAUCAUUACUCGCACAAAAGGCUCGAAUAUCUUCAUGUUUGUCUUGAAAAGAUGAACUCGGAUUAUAGAAAUAAAAUUUUCAACAACCUGUUGGAUGAGAUUAAGAUACAAAUAUUGAUGAAUGAAUGUUGUCUUCAUCUAUUAAAUAUCGGCAAAAAUUUUAAUUUAGGAGUCUCACAAAUCAUUAUGUCAAUU